rnacentral:misc_RNA from 1 species
GGAAGUAGAAGUCGUAACAAGGUCUCCGUUGGUGAACCAGCGGAGGGAUCAUUACCGAGUUUACAACUCCCAAACCCCUGUGAACAUACCAUUUGUUGCCUCGGCGGUGCCUGCUUCGGCAGCCCGCCAGAGGACCCAAACCCCUGAUUUUAUACAGUAUCUUCUGAGUAAAUGAUUAAAUAAAUCAAAACUUUCAACAACGGAUCUCUUGGUUCUG